rnacentral:rRNA from 1 species
GACGAACGCUGGCGGCGUGCUUAACACAUGCAAGUCGAACGAUAAGACUCCGGCUUUUUGGGGUACACGAGUGGCGAACGGGUGAGUAACACGUGGGUGACCUGCCCUUCUCUUCGUGAUAUACCUGGGAGACUGCGGCUAAUACCGGAUAGGACCAUGGUGUGGAUACUGUGGAGGAAAGAUUUUUCGGUGUGGGAUGGGCCCGCGGCCGAUCAGCUUGUUGGUGGGGGAUUGGCCUACCAAGGCGGCGCCGGGUCGCCGGCAUGAGAAGGUGGACGGCCACAUUGCGCCUGAGACACGGACCAGACUCCUACGGGAGGCAGCAGUGGGGAAUAUGGCACAAUGGGCGGAAGUCUGAUGCAGCGACGUCGCGUGGGGGAUGACGGCCUUCGGGUUGUAAACUCCUUUCACCAUAGACGAAGGGUUUCUGACGGUAGAUGGAGAAGAAGCAACGGCUAACUACGUG